UGGCGAAAGCCUGACGGAGCAAUACCGCGUGAGGGAGGAAGGCUCUUGGGUCGUAAACCUCUUUUCUCAGGGAAGAACACAAUGACGGUACCUGAGGAAUAAGCAUCGGCUAACUCCGUGCCAGCAGCCGCGGUAAUACGGAGGAUGCAAGCGUUAUCCGGAAUGAUUGGGCGUAAAGCGUCCGCAGGUGGCGGUGUAAGUCUGCUGUUAAAGAGUCUAGCUCAACUAGAUAAGAGCAGUGGAAACUACAUAGCUAGAGUACGUUCGGGGCAGAGGGAAUUCCUGGUGUAGCGGUGAAAUGCGUAGAGAUCAGGAAGAACACCAGUGGCGAAGGCGCUCUGCUAGGCCGUAACUGACACUGAGGGACGAAAGCUAGGGGAGCGAAUGGGAUUAGAUACCCCAGUAGUCCUAGCCGUAAACGAUGGAUACUAGGCGUGGCUUGUAUCGACCCGAGCCGUGCCGUAGCUAACGCGUUAAGUAUCCCGCCUGGGGAGUACGCCGGCAACGGUGAAACUCAAAGGAAUUGACGGGGGCCCGCACAAGCGGUGGAGUAUGUGGUUUAAUUCGAUGCAACGCGAAGAACCUUACCAAGGCUUGACAUGUCGCGAAUCCUGGUGAAAGCCGGGAGUGCCUUCGGGAGCGCGAACACAGGUGGUGCAUGGCUGUCGUCAGCUCGUGUCGUGAGAUGUUGGGUUAAGUCCCGCAACGAGCGCAACCCUCGUUUUUAGUUGCCAGCAUUAAGUUGGGCACUCUAGAGAGACUGCCGGUGACAAACCGGAGGAAGGUGGGGAUGACGUCAAGUCAGCAUGCCCCUUACGCCUUGGGCUACACACGUACUACAAUGCUCCGGACAGAGGGCAGCAAGCAUGCGAAUGCAAGCAAAUCCCGGAAACCGGAGCUCAGUUCAGAUCGCAGGCUGCAACUCGCCUGCGUGAAGGAGGAAUCGCUAGUAAUUGCAGGUCAGCAUACUGCAGUGAAUUCGUUCCCGGGCCUUGUACACACCGCCCGUCACACCAUGGAAGCUGGUAGUGCCCGAAGUCAUUACUCCAACCUUUCGGGGGAUAG
rnacentral:rRNA from 1 species